AGUUGCCCCUUUAAUGAUAGCGCAGCGUGCUCCUUUAAUAGGGAGUUGCCGCCGCAAAGUGCUCUGCACGGUCUAAUCAAAGGUGUCCGUGCGCCGUUGGAAAAUAGACCCACACUUUACUUCAAAUAACUACAAGAUCUUUUGUAUUAAUUGAUUUUGUAAUGAUUCCAUUAUGUGGGGUAGUUAAGGAAAUCCCAAUUUAUCUAGUUUCAAGGGGAUAUAUUUCAUACUAGGCUCUCUUUCAUUAAGCUAUGUUUAUGUAAACAAAGCGCAGUGAUACAUAAGUUUGCCAUCGUUCGGUCUCUUUCAGCGUCGCUUUGACAAAAGUCAGAAGGACAUCUCUGUUUGAGGGAAGCGAGGCGAGAGCCAGCCCUGGCCGGCUGUUUACAUUGACAAGAACAAGUGUUGGGGGUAAUAAAUUGGACGCAAAAUAAAACAUCUGAACCACCGUCCUGGUCUGUGUGUGUGAGUGACGUUCCUUCGAAUUAUCUGCUCUCCCUUACCAUCUCUGGGAACAACUUCCCCU
rnacentral:lncRNA from 1 species